CAACAGGGAUUGCCCCAGUAACGGCGAGUGAAGCGGCAACAGCUCAAAUUUGAAAUCUGGCCUCGUGCCCGAGUUGUAAUUUGUAGAGGAUGCUUCUGGCGACGCGCCUUCCGAGUUCCCUGGAACGGGACGCCAUAGAGGGUGAGAGCCCCGUCCGGUCGUGCGCCUAGCCUCUGUGAAGCUCCUUCGACGAGUCGAGUAGUUUGGGAAUGCUGCUCUAAAUGGGAGGUAUACGUCUUCUAAAGCUAAAUACCGGCCAGAGACCGAUAGCGCACAAGUAGAGUGAUCGAAAGAUGAAAAGCACUUUGAAAAGAGGGUUAAAUAGUACGUGAAAUUGCUGAAAGGGAAGCGCUUAUGACCAGACUUGGGCGCGGCGGAUCAUCCGGCGUUCUCGCCGGUGCACUCCACCGCCCCAGGCCAGCAUCAGCUCGCGCCGGGGGACAAAGGCUUCGGGAAUGUGGCUCCCUCGGGAGUGUUAUAGCCCGUUGCGUAAUACCCUGGUGCGGGCUGAGGUCCGCGCUCUGCAAGGAUGC
rnacentral:rRNA from 1 species